CAGCCGCCGCGGUAAUCCGGAGGGUGCAAGCGUUAAUCGGAAUUACUGGGCGUAAAGCGCACGCAGGCGGUUUGUUAAGUCAGAUGUGAAAUCCCCGGGCUCAACCUGGGAACUGCAUCUGAUACUGGCAAGCUUGAGUCUCGUAGAGGGGGGUAGAAUUCCAGGUGUAGCGGUGAAAUGCGUAGAGAUCUGGAGGAAUACCGGUGGCGAAGGCGGCCCCCUGGACGAAGACUGACGCUCAGGUGCGAAAGCGUGGGGAGCAAACAGGAUUAGAUACCCUGGUAGUCCACGCCGUAAACGAUGUCGACUUGGAGGUUGUGCCCUUGAGGCGUGGCUUCCGGAGCUAACGCGUUAAGUCGACCGCCUGGGGAGUACGGCCGCAAGGUUAAAACUCAAAUGAAUUG
rnacentral:rRNA from 1 species